CCCUCUGGACUUUCCCUAGGUUCCGUGGCUCUCUCUUCUGUGAACUCCCUCCUCCCCUUCUCCCUCUAACUGUGAGGUUACAGGUUCCCUUAACCUUGUGUCUCUCGGU
rnacentral:lncRNA from 1 species